GGAGUUGGUGAUAAAGGUUCGACUCCUUUCUUUCUGA
rnacentral:tRNA from 1 species